CUUCAUUAUUUUCUUUCUUCUUGGGUCAACAAGUUCGAAAUAAAGCUAUAUGUUCGGUACAAGUUAAAUGUUGGGACGAUUAUAAAUCUGAAACAUUAGACCAUUUGUGGGCUUGCAUCACGGAGAAGUGGUCAUUUGAUGACCCUGAAAAUAGGCGGGAGUGUGUUAUGAAACAUGCACAACGUUUAUUCAGAGGUGCUAGGAGCAAAUUGAAAUCAAAGUACUUUAAUGAUAAAAACUUGAAAACAAAAGAAGAACGUCUCAAAAAUAAGCCUAGUCAUCUGACUAAAGUGGAAUGGAAGUUCUUGGUUGACUAUUGGAGUGAAGAGGCGGUUAUGGAGAAGAGCAAAAAAGCAAGUGAAAGUAGGGCACAACAGAAGAUGCCUCACUAUAAUGGCACUAAAAGCUUCGGUUGCACUAGACAAGAAAUUGUAUGUAAUAACUACUCUUUAUAAUUUUAACUUUUGAUUCUUGCCUUAUGUAGGACUACAAUAAUCUAUGAUGUCACAUCAAGCCUUAAUCAGUACCUUUACUACAUUCCAUCAUUUUCCAAAAAGCUCAAAAGGCUACACUAAAUAAACUAAUGAGACAAGCCCUGCCUGUACACUAGCCCCCUCCCUUCCUGCAUACCAGCCCCUCCCCCUCCCUGCCUGCACACCUGCCCCGACCCUCUCCUGCCAGAUGCCACCUGCCUGCACAUACCUGCAUCCCCUCCCUACUUACACACCAGCUGAAUUCUUUUUUUUUUUUUAAGCGGAAGCAGUGUUUGGGGCAGGAUUGCUUGUUGUGAGAACCGGAUUUGUUAGUGAUAUGACUCAGAGGGAGUCAUCCCACAUUACAGAACCCCCAAAUGAUGGAGUAGUGUAGAGUUGCUCCCUUGCAUCUAGCCCCCUAAGUCUUAGAGGUGCUACAGUGGUUCUAAGACUUAAAGGAGACUGAUGAUUCACGACUGAAAAAUCUGCUGAGAUUUUGAUUUUUCUACUGAAAAAUCUGAACUGCUUUGAUAAUAAUCUUACUUUCUUGCUACAGCAUCGGAAUAUUCCGCUCGCUGAAAAUAUUCUGACUUUUGCUGAAAAUUUCGAUUUCCCUGCUGAAGUUUUUAAUUUUUCUACUGAAAAAAUCUGGUUGACUUGCUGAAAAAUCAGAUUCUUCUUGCUGAGGAACUUUAUUUCCUUGCAAAAAUUUCAUUUCUUCUUCUGAGAAGCCUACAACCUCGCUGAAAUUCUCAUUUUUCUGCUGGAAAUGCUGACUCCUGCUGAAAUUUUGCAAGGAUAUAGCUUUUUCUUCUUGAAAAUCUUGUUGUUUUUUGAAACAUUUGAUUAUCCUGCUUGCUAAAAAGUUCUGAUUUUCGCUGGAAACUUCGAUUUUCUUGCUUAAACUCUGACUGACUUGGUGAAAAAUCUGGUUUCUCUUGCUGAGAAAUAUUACUGCUUUGCCAAAAUCUUGAAUUAUCUUCUGAGAAGCUUUCUUCCUUGCUGAAAUUCAUAUUUUCCAUCGAAAAAACUGAAACUACUGCUUAGAUUUUGUGAGAAUAUUGAUUUUUCUUCUGAAAAAUCUUACUGUCUUGCUGAAAAUUCUGAUUUCUUUUGCUGACAAACCUUGCUAAUUUGCAAGAGUCAUCAAUGUUAUAAUAACCUGAGCUAGCUGCUGCAGUUCUUAGCUGAUUUGAAAUCUUAUCAAACUGAAGAAUUUGACUUUGAAUUUAUUGUCCUUUACCCACUUAUUGAAUUGUGGGAGUUCUUCUGCUCUUACAUCCUCUACACAAGCUAUAAAAUUUUGCAUCAAACUCGGCGGCAGCUCACUGCUGCGAAGCUAGACUUUAUGCUCCGCAAUAUUAUGCUGACUGGUAGGAAAACGCUUUGAUCAGACUAAUUUUGUCGAUCAGAGUACAGUAGGAGCCUUUACUUCCUUUGUACGUAUGAUCAUGACAUCCUAGAGGGGUCAGAAGAAGAAGAAUGGCGGGAAGUGUUCUCGAGUUGAUGUAUUGGUUGCAACUCGUACAAGAAAAUCUGAGAAGGUUGUGAAUGCAAUCAAUUUGGCAAAUAACACUCAUGCAGUAGAUGAGAUAAACAAAUUAAAGGAAAAAAGAGAGCAAGGUCUUAAUGAGAAAACAAAUGAGCAAAUUAUUCAGGAUGUGCUUGGCAAAGAUACACAUGGGUAUUUGAAAGCUCAUGGACCUGGUAGAAGUAUAACACAACAUUUUAAAGUAAAGCCCUCUCGAAUUGAUCUUACUCAAGAGGUGAAUGAAGUUAUAAAGAAAGCAGAUCAAGCAAUUGAAGAUGCAAGAAAAGAAGCUGAAACUGCUAGAACAGAAGCAGAACAGGCUAAAAUAGAAGCUGAACAAGCCAAAAAAGAGGCGGAAGCUGUUAAGAAUGACGUGGACAGAAAAAUUGCUGAUAAUAAUGCAGUUUGGGAGAAGAAGUUUAGUCAACUUCUGGAUUUUCUUGGAGCAGGAAGUUCAUCAGAUUCUGAUGAUUUAGGAAGUCAAGGUUCAAAGGAAUGAAGUAACAAGGAGCGGAGCACACACAUAUUGUCACAUUGUACAUAUAUAAAGAGUAUAUUGUUCUUCAGCAAAACGAUUUGAGUGUUUUAUUUUUUAUUUAUUUUAGUAAGAGUGAGCUAGUGAUGAGACAAUGAGACAAUUGAUUUCUAGUAUGUUUGUAUGUAUGGAUAUCGAAUUCAAGUAUGUUUGAAUGAAUGGGAUUCCAAGACAUAAUAUCACCUUUUUAAUGUUAUAUAUCGAUUUCAAGAAUGACAAAUAUGACAUAUUUGAGAAAAA